ensembl:lincRNA uncharacterized LOC102008014
UGAAAAGGUGGCCUGCCAUAAGAAGCGGACGAGUUCAUUUUACUGUCACUCCGACUGGGUUGAGACUCCUAGAGAAACGGCUGGAUCAUGGGGCCACUGCAUUCAGCGGUGGAUUAACCCCAUGACGCUGGGUGCAGGGCUUGGAUCUGGGAGAGGCUGGUCACCCCAGCGCGGCUUCGGGGCGCGCAUCUCUGCAAAGUGCUCGUCCUCACUGUCCAGAGUUUCCAAUGCAACUUUGGGUGCCAAUAUGUACAACAUUUCACUGUACAAGAGUGUAUUUAUCAAGUUGCUGUAUUCUCCAGCCAAUGCCAAUGAAGAAAAGUGAUUGCGUCUCUCUCUUCACAAACUGUGGGUGGAGAGACACUUCAAAAUGAACUAAGCACGCAUCAGUGAGCUUCAAAUGAAUGACUCAUCCUGAAGGUGGAAGUGUUACCUUUUAUUCCAAGGCUUAUAAUUGACAGAGUUUUUCAGAGUAAUUCAUAAAGCACAGACUAUAUAAUAUUGGAAUGUUUUAUGGUAAUGAAGGAUCUUUUUUCAGUAAAAGAAUUGCAAAAAUGAUCAUUAAGCAGCAUUUUAUAUACGAUUUUGUUACAUAAGAUUUU